UCGUCUAACUCGUAGAUUGUCCUCGCCUUUUGAACACUGCACACAGUGAGAGCGUGAGAGUUUUGCAGCAGCAAUGGAGAUGGCUAUUGGGUCAGUCACAUAAACGUAUUCUCACUCCCUUACUAUCUGCAUCGUCAACAAACGUUGGAGCGAAAAAGAGAAAUUUUGUUAAUAAUUUUCCUUAUUGUGGGCUUGAAAGAGAGUUUUUUGCGUGCAAAUUAUCUUUGGUUUCGAAAUCGAGUUCCAGUGUUACUGCGAGAAUCCCAUCUCGUCAUUCUGUCAGAUGCUCAGUUUCUCAAGUUAUUGACACCACCACAGGUAAAAAAAUAUUUUGUAAAUGAUUGCAUGCGCAUAUACUUGUAAGGAUUUUUUAAUCAAUAGAUGAGUUUAUAUGUGUGAAUAAUUGUGUGUUAAAUUAUAAGCUAUCGAAUUCGAUUGAGCCCAAUUAAAGUGAUCUAAUAAGACUUCAAUUUUGGGCUUUAAUGUAUUCAAGUAAGUGUGAGUUUACAUAUGUGUAGAGACCGGAUCUAAGUCCUAAUUCUAUGAUGGGCCGAAUUAGGUCAAAGGGCGUCGUUAUAUAAAUAGGUUAUGGUUCCUAGAUCACACGUACGUAUUAUUCAUUCUCUUCUGCAUCCCAUCACAGAGAGGAAAAUGAGACUGCGUGUAGAUUUGAAAGACUAUACCGCGAAAUUCAUUAUUGCAUUAACCGUGCCUGAUUCAGGUACGCUUUCGCUUUAAUUCUUGUAUUUCUUGAUGAUUUAACAUGAAAGAUCCGAUGAUUUAAAGUAUUAAAUUAUCCUAGAAGUGGUAUCAGAGCCUUUUCAUAUUGAAUAAUUGAGAAUCGAAUAAUUUAUUUGGUUCUUGCAAUAUUUUUUAUGAAAUUUUUAGAUUCGACAGUUUUGGAUUUAGUUUUGUUGAAUUUGAAAACUAUUCGGUAUAAUUUUUCAUUAUUUUCAUAAUUCGGAUUAAUAAUUGAGAAAAAUUUCAGAAUAUGAAUUUUGGUUUAUUUCGAUACAGUUUUAAAAUUUUUUUUUUUUUGAUUUCUCGGAGGGGCAGUGCCUACGUCACAGCAGCAGCGCCAGGGCGCUGUGCGCCCCCGCCGGUUGGCGCCGCCAAGAAGAAGAAAAGAGAGUUUUUUUUUUUUUGGUUUUUCAGUUUCUCUGGAUUCGAGGACGGGGGCCCUCACGUGUAAAUUGGAUAAUUUGAGGCCCCUGCUUGCAAUUAGAGUUAGGGUUAUUAAAUUAAGGUUUCAGUCCCUAACCUUUAAGUUAUAUUCAGAUUUGGGCCUUUAAAUUUUGGAUUUAAUAAUUUAGUCCCUAAGAUUUAAAAUUAAUUAAUUCGGGCCAUUAAAGUUCUAAAAUUUAUAAUUAAAGCCCUCAAACUUUAAUUAUUAAUUCAAAUUGGCCCCCAAAGUUUAUAAUUAAUUCAAAUUGACCUNAGCCCUCAAACUUUAAUUAUUAAUUCAAAUUGGCCCCCAAAGUUUAUAAUUAAUUCAAAUUGACCUCCAAAGUUUCAAAUUUUUAAAAUUUGAUCCCUAAAGUUUGAAUUGGUCAAUUUUGGCCCCUAAAGUUUUUAAAUUUAUUCUAACUGAUCCUCUAAAGUUUUGAAUUAAUUAAUUAUGGUCCCUAAAUUUUUAAGUUUAUUAAUUUCAACCCCUAAAGUUUGGAAUUAAUUAAUUUAACCCCCUUAAAGUUUUGAAUUAUUAAUUCUAAGGCCCCUAAAGUUUAAAACUAAUCAAAAUAUGCAAAAUUAGUGAUUUUCUUUCUUAAAUUUUGGUACUAAGGACACUUUUAAGAGAUAUAAUAUUCAAAAGUUGGUUAAUUGAAGCAACAUGUUGCCAAUGCAACCUCUCUUGUGAAAAUUGACUAACUUAGAAUAUUAAAAGGUGUUUGUGCAUGUGUUAUUCACGGGAUAUUGAUCGGUCCAAAGGAAGGUCAAUAUUUAGCUGAAUACACGUGUACAUGUGGUGAUAAACGUGUGACGAUUAUUUAGUUUAAUGUGUGAUCAAUAAAUCGGUCCAAAAAAAGGUUUGUUGAUUGAUACAUUGUUUUAUCGUCAAUGUUUGAUCACUACGUCAAGAGUACCGCUUACAAGUCAAUAUCUCUGUCCAAAGACUAGAUAUUGAUGUUGUGCUUGGUAUCUUGUGAUGGGCCCUACCACUAUUUGUGAUUAUUUUAUUUGCAUAUUAAAGAUAUUCAUGUGAGCUAUUCAUAAUAAUCGUUCUCUAAUUCAAUUUCAGGUUCUGUUCUAAUAUCUCUGCUAGCAUCAAUUCAAUUUCAAUGCUUAAUGGCACAAAUUUUAGGGUAUGGCAAGAGAACGUGAUGAUUGUUCUCGGAGUAAUGAACCUGGACCUUGCUUUACGGGUCGAUCAACCUGCUGCACUUACUGAUAAGAGUAUCUCUGAUGACAAGAGGGAGAUAGAAAAGUGGGAACGAUCGAACUGCAUAAGCUUAAUGGUCAUGAAGUGUGUUAUUCUAGAAGCAUUUCGAGGCACUAUGUCCGAUAAGGUGACUACGGCUAAGGGUUUCCUUGAGGAUAUUGAGAAGAGGUUUGCCAAGAAUGAAAAGGUUGAAACAAGUACACUUUUGGCAAACCUUGUCUCAAUGAGGUAUAAAGGAAAAGGAAAUAUUCGGGAGUACAUUAUGGAACAAAACUAAAGGCACUCAAGUUGGAUUUAUCUGAAGACUUGUUGGUGCACUUGGUUUUGAUAUCCCUUCCGGCACAUUUCAGUCAAUUCAAGGUGAGCUACAACUGUCAAAAGGACUCAUGGUCCCUUAAUGAGCUCAUCUCACACUGUGUUCAGGAAGAGGAAAGACUAAAGCAUGAGAAGAUAGAAAGUGCUCAUUUGGCCACCAUCUCUAUGGACAAAAGGAAAAAGAAAAAGAAGAUUAAUAAGGAAGCUGAGGGUACGGCACUGCAAAAGAAACAGCAUAAGGAACCGACUGAAAGUAGUUGUUUAUUCUGUGGAGCUGCAGGUCAUAAGAAGAAGAAUUGCACCAAUUACCACGCAUGGCGUGUAAAGAAAGGUAUUCUUCUUCAUUUGUUUUGUUUUGAGAUUAAGUUAACUUCGGUACCUAGACAUACAUGUUGGAUAGAUUCUGGUGCAACAACUCACAUCAAUAUGUCUAUGCAGGGUUGCCUGAAUUGCUGAAAACCAAGUGAUGGUGAAAGAUAUAUCUAUGCUGGAGACGGCAAGAAGGUGGAAGUAGAGGCAAUAGAAAAAUUUAGAUUAUUGUUAAAGAAUAGAUUUUAUUUGAAUCUUGUUGAGACAUUUAUUGUACCGUCUUUUAGAUGGAAUUUGAUUUCUAUUUCUAUUUUGGACAAAUCUAGUUAUACUUGUUCAUUUGGAAAUGGAAUAUUUAGUUUGUUUCAUAAUUCAAAAUUGGAUGGUUUCGAUUCUUUAUCAGGCUACGAUAAUCUUUAUUCAAUUGACACAAUUGCUUCUUUUAAUGAAUCCUUGUAUGUAAGUACUCGAAGUGUAAAGCGAAAAUUAACCGACGAGAAUUCUGCCUCGUUGUGGCACAAGAGAUUAGGUCACAUCUCCAAAAGGAGAAUUGAGAGACUUGUGUCAGACGGAAUUCUUGACCCUCUUGACUUCACAGAUUAUGAUUUGUGUGUCAACUGUAUAAAGGGAAAACAAACCAAUAAAAGGAGAUUUCAAGCCAAUAGGACUUCGGACGUCUUAGCACUUAUACAUACGAAUAUUUAUGACCAUUCCCUACGGAUUCUUGGAAUGGUUAACAAUAUUUUAUAACGUUCAUGGACGACUUUUCAAGAUAUGGCUAUGUAUAUCUCAUUCACGAAAAAUCACAGUCACUGGAUGUGUUUAGAAACUAUAAAGCUGAAAUUGAGAACCAACUCAGCAAAAUGACUAAAAGCGUCAGAUCUGACCGGGGGGGGGGGGGGGGGGANGGGGGGGGGGGGGGGGGGGGGGUGAGUACUAUGGCAGAUAUGACGGUUCAGGUGAACAACGACCAAAACCAUUUGCUAAAUUCCUAGAGGAAUGCGGUAUCGUCCCGCAGUACACCAUGCCGGGUUCGUCCGCUAUGAAUGGUGUUGUUGAAAGAUGAAACAGAAUGUGUAAGGACAUGAUGAGGAGUAUAAUUAGUCAUUCUACUUCACCAGAAUUUCUCUGGGGUGAAGCAUUAAAGACCACAGCUUAUAUAUUUAACAGAGUUUCAACUAAGGCCACUGAUAAAAUCCCAUAUGAGCUUUGGACGAGCAAGAAGCCUUGUUUGAAACAUAUACAUAUUUGGGGGUGUCCAACUGAGGUAAGGCCCUAUAAGCCAAAUGAAAAGAAACUGGACGUAAGGACCAUCAGUUGCUAUUUUAUUAGAUAUUCUGAAAGGUCCAGGGGUUAUAAGUUUUAUGAAUCCACAACUAAGACAAUUUUCGAGACAGGAAAUGCUCGGUUCUUUGAGGAUGUUGAGUUUGCUGGGGGAGAAAGGGUUACAGGCUUUGUCUUUGAGGAUGAAUAUGUUGAAAUUCCUCCAAUUGCUAUUGACAAUGAUCAGGUUUCUAUCCCUGAUAUUGCUCAAGAAACACCUCUGGAUCAAGACAAUGUCAUACCUCCCUCUCAAGAUCAACAAAUUGUUCCAGAAGAACAAACUCUACAGCCUCAAGAACCAAUGCCAUUAAAAAGAUUCAUUAGAGAGAGGAGAAGUGCGGUUUCGAAUGAUUACAUUGUAUUUCUCCAAAAACAUGAAGUUGACAUUGGAAUGGUGGAAGAUGAUCCGAUCAACUUCCGUCAAGCCAUAGAAAGUUCUAACUCUUAAAAGUGGCUCGAUGUCAUGAAUGAAGAGAUAAAGUCCAUGAAGGACAAUGACGUAUGGGAUCUCGUUUCAUUGCCUGAACCUGCGAAACCCAUUGGUUGCAAAUAGAUAUUUAAGACCAAGAGAUAUUCGAAAGGUGAUGUAGAGAGGUAUAAGGCUCGUCCUGUCGCAAAGGGCUUUACACAGAAAGAAGGCAUCAAUUAUAAAGAGACUUUCUCUCCGAUUUCUUCGAAAGACUCUUUCAGAACAAUAAUGGCAUUGGUAGCGCAUUUCGCUCUUGAGUUACAACAGAUGGAUGUUAAAACAGCAUUUCUCAAUGGUGACAUUGAUGAAACAAUUUAUAUGGUACAACCAGAAAAUUUUGUAUUGGACGAUGCAAAGUAAAUUGUUUGUAAAUUAAAGAAAUCCAUCUAUAGAAUCAAACAAGUGUCUCGUCAAUGAUAUUACAAGUUUUAUCAGGUGAUCAUCUCAUUCGGUUUUGAGAUGAAUUUGAUCGAUGAUUGUAUCUACCAUAAGUUCAAUGGGAACAAGUAUAUUUUUCUGGUUUUAUAUGUCGAUAAGAUAUUGCUUGCCAACAACGAUAUAAUCUUAUUGCACGAAAUCAAGAGAUUUCUAGUAAAGAAUUUUGAGAUGAAAGAUCUUGGUGAUGCCUCUUUUGUAUUAGGAAUUCAGAUAUACCGAGAUCGUUCUCGAAGUAUUCUUGGAUUAUCACAAAAGAGCUAUAUCGAAAAGGUACUUAGAAGAUAUGACAUGCAAGAUUGUAAACCAAGUGACACCGUUGUGGUUAAAGGAGACAAGUUCAGCUUAAGUCAGUGCCCUAAAAUUAACUUCGAAAUUAAAGAAAUGCAGAAGAUCCUUAUUCCUCAGCUAUAAGGAGUCUGAUGUAUGCUCAGAUUUGUACGCGUUCGGAUAUAGCGUACAUUGUUAAGAUGUUAGGGAGAUAUUUAAGUAACCCAGGAAUGGAUCAUUGGAAAGCAGCCAAACGGGUCAUGCGGUAUUUACAGAGAACAAAAGACUAUAUGCUCACAUGUAGGAGAUCGGAUCAGUUGGAGAUCAUCGAUUAUUCUGAUUUUGAUUUCGCGGGAUGCCAAGAUAGUAGGAGAUCCACUUCAAGCUAUAUUUACCUGCUUGCUGGAAGUGCUAUUUCUUGGAAGAGUGCCAAGCAGACACUCAUAACUACUUCCACUAUGGCAGCGGAGUUUAUAGCAUGUUAUGAGGCAUCAAAUCAUGAAAUAUGGCUGCGUAAUUUUGUCACUGGGCUGCGCAUUAUGGACAAUUUAGAAAGACCACUUAAGAUAUUUUGUGACAAUAAAUCAUCAGUGCUGUAUUCUAAUAACAACAGGAGUUCGACGAAGUAAAAACAUAUAGAGAUUAGGUUCCUGGCUGUCAAAGAAAGAGUUAAGAGUGGACAAGUGUCAAUAGAGCAUAUUGGGACAAACUCCAUGGUUGUGGAUCCACUUAUGAAGUGAUUGAUACCCAAGGUCUUUCAUUAGCACACUGCUCAUAUGUGUGUAAUGUCUCUUGAGGAUAUCUAGUUUCAGUGGGAGUUUGUAUUUUUACUUUUCAUAUUGGACACAUGUACUAUUAUUUUGGAUACGAUUUAAGGUUAAAGUUAUUUUCAGUUAUAAAGUUAUUUGGUUUAUUAUCUCUGAACUUGUUUAAAAAUAAUCUCACUAAGGUAUUACGGUGGACCAGCUGGAAAUAGGCAUGUUAUAGAUCACAUUACAUGUAAUUUUCAUGCUACACAUCCAUGCUUGAUCUAUGUCAUUCGAUUAUAUUGAUAUACGUGACCAUUGAUGGGUUCAGCUACAAUGAAGGUAGCGAAAGGCGCUUUGAUCCUAUGUUGAUAUAAUUGAUGGACGGGAUUGUUUGGGGAUCUAUUCGGUAAUGAUAGCAAAAUUCUGAGUACUCAUAAAGUUAUGUUUAAUGCACAAUUAUAAGGUGACACAUAUAGCCCAAGUGGGAGAUUGUAAAGAUUUUUUAAUCAAUAGAUGGGCUUAUAUGUGCGAUUAAUUGUGUAUUAAAUUAUAGGCUAUCGAAUUCGAUUGAGUCCAAUUAAAGUGGUCUAAUAAGGUUUCGAUUUUGGGCUUUAAUGUAUCUAAUUAAAGUGUGAGUUUACAUAUGUAUAAAGACCGGGCCCAAGUCUUAAUUCUAUAAUGGACCAAAUUAGGUCAAAGGAUAUCGCUAUAUAAAUAGGUUAUGGUCCCCAAAUCAUACGUACGUAUUAUUCAUUCUCUUCUGCAUCCCAUCACAGAGAGGAAAAUGAGACUGCAUGUAAAUUUGGAAGACUAUACCGCGAAAUUCAUUAUUGUAUUAACCAUGUUUGAUUCAGGUACGCUUCCACUUUAAUUCUUGUAUUUCUUGAUAAUUUAACAUGAAAGAUCCGGUGAUUUAAAAUAUUAAACUAUCCUACAAUAUGAUGUUAUGUUAUUUAUCGCUUCAGAAAAUUAUGGGUCUUUUACACUUGUUUCGUAUUAAUUAUGCUUCAGAAUUUGUACUUCUUGUGGCUCAAUUUGACUGGCAAAUUCAUUUACACCUUUGGAAAAAGCCCAGUGUACAGGGUUUAUACAGGGGCCCUUCCUAUAGCGCGGGCCCCACAUGUAAAAAAAAAUAAAAAAUUAACGUGGGCCCCACCAAUGUGAGUACCUGUAAAAUAUCUGACAAAAAUAACCCUGUACAUGUAGGGUGGUUCUUACACCUAUUUUUCGAUUUCCCCUCCACUUUUUUCCCUUUUGGGUGGUGUGUGUGAAUUUAUAAUUAUGCUGUGAUGAUUUCGUAGUGCAAUGUUUUUAUACCGUUCGACCUUUGAAUCAGAGUAUGUUUGCUAAGCUUUAAAAGUAUACUUCAUAAGUACUUAAGUAAGCUUUAAGGUCAAGUUUGGAAUAAGAGUAGGUUUUUCCCUUGCUCAAAACAUGUCAAAUCUACUUAUUAUACAAAUACUUUUAAAAAAGUAACAUUAUUUUCUCAAAAAUAAGAAUAAAGGUAACAUAUUUAAAUGUUUGGAAACAAAUGUUACUUAAACCUAAUCCUCUGUAAGCUUAGUCAGAUUAGCAUUUGUUAGUUUCAGGUCUAGGUGCAAUGUGAAAUUCACAACGUCCUGCACAAAUAUUUUACUUGCUCUGGCCUUGAGAAUUUGCUAUUGCAUUUUGAUUUUCUGUGAUGUUAAUGUAUGCCGGAUCUUGAAGUCUAUCAUUUGUAACUCUUAUAAGUCGUAUUCUCCAUUUUUUAUUUCGUGGUGAACUGUUAUUAUAUGUUCUAUUCGUGUUCUCUCAAACAUGUUUCUUACAGGAUACUUUAAAAGAAUUCAAGUCACUUUGGUUCAUAUAUGUAGUUUGGAUUCUGAAUUUCUGUUUUUUAACUCUGCCUCAGAGAAAAAGGGACAGUUAAUGAGGAGAAAUGACAUACGAAAUAUAGCAAUUGUCGCUCAUGUAGAUCAC
rnacentral:lncRNA from 1 species